UUUGCCAUGUUAGCCCGGCUGGUCUUGAACUCCUGACCUCAGGUGGUCCACCCACCUUGGCCUCCUAAAUUUGGAAUAACAUCUUAAAAUGAAGAGCAGAGAUUUUGGAAAAUAAUUAGUUCUUCCGAGAUAUAUACCUGCUAUUACUCUUUAGACUCAACGGAGAAGAGUUACUGAAACUGACAGCCUAGAGAAACUGACAGCCUACCUCACUUCACCCCCAACCUUUGAAGAGGGAAGUCAAUAAUACAAAUGGAGAGCCCAUUGCAAUUUGCUAGACUGCAGUGCUCGGUGUUGAGAGACCCAGAUAGAGGCAAGCCUUGAAAACUGCUGACUGAUGCAAAAACAACUGGAAACUGAAGAUACAAAAAUUAUGUAAGAAAGAAUAAUGAAUUGCUCGUUUUCUUUUUCUAGGAUAAAUUAAUGCUGGAAGAACACAGAAUUUUAGAGCUCUUGAAUGUACGUUCUAGCAUAGUGCAAAUGAAUGUUAGACAUGACACUAAGGAUAAUACUGAUUAAAGGCUUUGCACAUCAGUGAUAGAGUUAUGAUCUAGAUUAGUGGCUUUCAAAGUUUUCUGAACACUAGGUAUGUCCCCUUAGAUAGAUGCAUAUACAUAUAAGUGAAAAGAACAUGAUUAUAGAGGGUUUCUCCCAAGUGGAGACAUUUUUUAGAUUGAUUUCAACAUUUCAAAUAAACUCAUGAUCACACUCAUCCAGUUGCUCUGUGAUAGUUAUUUUUCCUUCUCUUUUACUAUUUUAACUUAAAAAUAGGUUGGUUUCAAUCCAUUAAAUUGAUUUUAUGACUCACUAAUAGGUUGUAAAAACCUGUUAGUGAGUCAUAACUUUCAUAAGUUUGAAAAUCACUGUAGUAGAGCCACCAAAAGCAUAAGAAACUAAGUUGAUACAAAUGUUUGGUUUUGUUUAUUUUUUCCUUAAAGCAGUGCUUACUAAACACCUUGAGAGUACUUAGUCAUUCAGUCUUCCUUGGCUUAUUUAGUUAAUAUGUGGUAAUCAUUGAUAAGCACACCUGUGGGAGGCAGGAUUCUAAGAUGACCCCCAAGAUUUCCCAUCCCCUCCCCUGACUGAUGUUCAUACUUUGCAAAAAUCUCUGGAAUGAUGAAUUGGAUUUUUACUUUGGUGGUAAAAAUAAAAGAUUAUGUUAAUGGAAUAGUUGAUGCUAAGAUAAGGAGAUUUAUCUAGUGGCCUGAACAAGAAAGGAAAUAAGAACCGAAGGGAAUCACAUAACACAUUUAAAAGCAGAGAGUUUUCUCUGGCUAGUGGCAGAAGAAAAAGUCAGAGAUUCAAAGCAUGAGAAGAAUUUGAUGCUCCAUUACUGACUUGAAGAUGGUGGGUACCACAAGGCAAGGAACAUGGGCCUUCUCUGAGAGCAGCUCUGACUGAUAGCCAGCAAGGAAACAGGGACCUCAGUCUUACAAAGCCAAGGAAUUAAAUUCUGUCAAAAAAUGAGAAUAAGCUUAAAAAUAGACUUUGUCGUAUAACUUCAGGCAAAAAACCUUGUCUAACACAUUGGUUUUAACCUUGUGAGUCCUUAGCUGAGAAUCCAGUCGGGCUACAUCAGACUUCUGACCUACAGAACUGUGAGCUAGUACAUUUAUGGUGGUAUAUGCUACAAGUUUGUGGUAGUUUGUUUUGAAGCAAUAGAAAAUUAAUAUACUGACAAAAGUACUUUGUCAUUCUUGAUCGUAAAACAUUCUGUUUAGCACAUUCUCCCUACAAGGCAAGAAAGUAUUGAAUACAUUAUUGAAUAUUAUAAAGACCAGUAUUAAACAAGGAAGAUUUUCUUUAUUCUUCAAUCAUUCUGCUUAAUUGAGGGGUUGCUUUGUGAAUAUUUCUGUCAAUAAUAAUUUUUUCCAUUUAAAAAACAUGCCUCAGAAGAUUUAAAUGGCAAAUUUAUACACUAGAUACUGGCCUGAGUUUAUACGUGAAGAUGAAAUACAUAAAGAGUAGAAACUUGCUUAAUGUGGCAAACCUACAAAAUGUUGGAACUGGCUAGAUCACAGAUAUUGGAUUAAUUUAUUCUUUGAUGCAUACACUUACUCAAUACUAUUUAUCAUAAGAAACAUUGUUCUAGGUCCACAGAAUAUUGUGGUGGUCAAAACAGAAAAAGCACUUCUCUAAUGAGGCUUAUAUUCAUGUUUGGACAUUAUAAAAU